rnacentral:rRNA from 1 species
CCUACGGGUUGCAGCAGUGGGGAAUAUUGCACAAUGGGCGCAAGCCUGAUGCAGCCAUGCCGCGUGUACGAAGAAGGCCUUCGGGUUGUAAAGUACUUUCAGCGAGGAGGAAGGCAUUAAGGUUAAUAACCUUGGUGAUUGACGUUACACGCAGAAGAAGCACCGGCUAACUCCGUGCCAGCAGCCGCGGUAAUACGGAGGGUGCAAGCGUUAAUCGGAAUUACUGGGCGUAAAGCGCACGCAGGCGGUCUGUCAAGUCGGAUGUGAAAUCCCCGGGCUCAACCUGGGAACUGCAUUCGAAACUGGCAGGCUAGAGUCUUGUAGAGGGGGGUAGAAUUCCAGGUGUAGCGGUGAAAUGCGUAGAGAUCUGGAGGAAUACCGGUGGCGAAGGCGGCCCCCUGGACAAAGACUGACGCUCAGGUGCGAAAGCGUGGGGAGCAAACAGGAUUAGAUACCCCCGUAGUC